GUGCUCGAUUCAGCAGCACAUAUACUGAAAAUAGAAUGAUACAGAGAAGAUUAGCAUAACCCCUGAGCAAGGGUGACAAGCAAAUCAAAUUCAUGAAACAUUCCAUAUUUUU
ensembl:snRNA U6 U6 spliceosomal RNA